AGCUUUCUAAAAUCUCUUUAGGGGUGUGCGUAGGCUCCUGUGUCUAUGCCUGCUUUUGACUGCCCAGUUGAAGCCUCUUCCUAUGCCUUUUAAAAUUUCACGCACUAUAAGGAGGAAGAGCUCGGGGCUCCCAAAACUUUUUAUUUAGAGGGAAGAAUCCUAGGGAGAUGGGUAUGCAGAGGGUUGACCAAAUUGGAAAAAAAAAUUUAUUCUGUAGUUUGGUGUUGGAAAAGGGAAUUUUCCAAUCAGCCACACCUCGGUGUUGCGGCAAAAUAAUUCUUGGCUCCCCUGGAAACGCAUGGGCAAGGUAGGGCAGAGCUGCUGCUGCUGAUACUGCCACCACCCUGGGCUUCCUGCUGACUCUGGGCUACUCCCUGGGGACAACAGAUUUGCAUUGACGUCCGGGGCUGUCCAGAGGCCCUUAAGAGCCAGUUGUGAGCUGAGCCCAGUAUGGGAAAGAUCUGCCUUCUGGAAGCUACUGCUACGUGGUGCUUGGAAAGAUGACUCAGUGUAUCGGGAGCCGGGAGAUGGAGCUCUCAGCAGAGUGGCCAGGAUGUUCUGUCAACAUGAAAGCUGCAAAAACAGCUCGGGGCUCUGAGCUGAUCCUUAGCCUGGGGUCAUUUUUCAGGGAGGGCUGGACAGAGAAGGCGGCCACUGCCCGGGCAUCAGGAUGGGGGCGACACCAGAGGACUCAGGAGAGCGCAGCUUGCUCUGUGAGUGGGUGACAACCUCUUGGCGACUCAGGCUCAGCUGAGGAUGGUGCCAGUGUGCCGGAGACAGCCAUCAUACUGCCGGAUAGAGUGGCUCACUUGCAUGUAUUUGGAACAAAAAAAGGAGAUGCCUGGCAGCCCCGCUCUCUGCAGUGCUGUUGAGCCACCAAUUUUUGUGGUUUUGUGACCACAAGUGCUGACUGAUGUCACAUGACUCCAGUCUUGUCAGUGAAUCAUCACCAGGCUGCUUACUGGAAACUGGAUGCAGCAAGGAAAUAGGAUUUAACCACUCUCUACCUCCCAGGAGCCCUGAAAUCAGCAUUCCCAGAGGAAAGAAGAUGGCCAUCUGGGCUUGGCUUCCGGCUCCCCCCAUCUGGCUGGAACACACAUCAGUCACCACUGUGUAACCUCCUUUGUGCCUUUCCCAUGGAGCACUGUGUCAUAUCACAAGUAGAACUGCAAGAAGACAUUUCUCCUCAGGGCAGAGGCUGGGUCUUCCGAUUGAAUCUCCCUUCUUUCUUCAUUGAGAUCCUCUUCUUCUGGAAGCUGGUUUCACAUGGUGGCUUAGAUUUUUCCAUCUUUGUAUCUAGCACCAUUUGAAAUCAGUGUUUUAGGAGUAAGAAUUGCAGCACAGCCAAGGGUGGACUGCAGAGGAACUGCUGCUCAUGGGACUGGCUCCUCUCCUCCUGCCACUUGAGUCUGUUCGAGAAGUCCAGGGAAGAACUUGAAGAGCAAAAUACACUCUUGAGUUUGUUGGGUUUUGGGAGAAGUGACAGUAGGGAAGGGGGUUGUGUUUAAAAUAAACACAGUGGCUUGAGCAGGGGCAGAGGUUGUGAUGCUAUUUCUGUUGACUCCUAGCAGCCGUUACCAGCAUGAAUGUGUUGGUAGGGCCUUUGAGUGUGGCAGUUGUCAUACUCUGUUGGAUAACAAUGUAUUGGGUAUCGGUUGUCAUGGGGCAGGGGAGAGGGCAGUACACCUGGAGGACCAUUUUGUCCACAUCAGCACCGUCAGUCUGCUCUUAGAGGAUGCCCUGGAGUAUUCCCCGUCAGUUGCGGGGCACCCGAAAUCAGACUUGCCACCUGGACUGUCGAGGUGCAGACCCUGGGAGCACCACUGGCCCAUCUCUUACACAGGCUGACCGAUUUCUCCUGGUGUUCAGAGUCUGUUUUUGUCUAGCACCAUUUGAAAUCGGUUAUGAUGUAGGGGGAAAAGCAGCAGCCUCGAAGUCUUAUGCCAAGUCUGGGCAGCAGCAGCCUGUGGUUUCCUGGAAGAUGGAUGGGCAGAGAAUGGGGAAGGAAGAUCAUGUUUUUCCCUACUAACUUCUUUAACUGCAUGUACGAUACGUUAUUGCAGAGGUAAGAGAUAGUUUAAUGGAUUUUAAAAAACAAAUUACUAUAAUUUAUCUGAUGUUCUCAGUUGCAUUUUGCUGAAAUGUAGUACUGCACUAAAUUCUAUAAAUUGAUUGCUGUUGAAUUAUCUUUCUGUUGAGAAGAGUCUAUUCAUGCAUCCUGACCUUAAUAAAUACUAUGUUCAGUUGAUCA